ACAAGGCCCAGUUUCACGCGAUGACAGCAGAGCAGCAAGGAGGAGCAUGCAGCAGCAGUAGGUGAGGAGCAUCGCUUAUCGUGGCGAAUCGGAAGCUGUUUAUCGAGGGUGCAUCAUUAUACUGCUGUGUUUUUUCGAAAGAUGUUGAAAUGAACAGCCCAUCAAUUUGCUGAUGGAAUAUUUCUUGUUUUUUGGAUAAUAUUGCAACACAGAAAUAUCUACAUAAAAUUGGUACAGUGCAGUAGUGGUGCAUCAGGGCCUGUGUCUUGCCCACCCAGAAUUGUCCUUUAAAUCCCAGCGAUGGCCAAGUUGUAUGAGUUCAAAUGGCAAGUUCCUAUUCCACCUUUCAUGCGGGAAGGAAAUACAUUUGAUCGAUGGGAUGAGGAUUCAGGAUCAAUUGAGCAGAACUGUAUAUAUAAGGUGGAUGAGUAUGGCUUCUUCAUUUAUUGGAAAAGUGAAGGAAGGGUAAGC